rnacentral:lncRNA from 1 species
GAAACCAGAGUUGAGGGGUGGGAAACAAGAGGGGUCAGAGCUUUCCAGACAGAGGAAAUGGACUAUACAAAGAUGUGUGUGUAGGCACAACGGCAUUGGAGAAUAGGACCAGCAAAUUAGCUUGACAAAAACAGAGGGGUCCCAUCAAGAAAUAAUAAAAGAUGAAGAUUAAGAGUACCCCUAUUGGUGAAAAUGUUUGGAUAGCAAAAGGAGCUUGGGUUUUAUUUGACAGACAUUGGGGAGUCCAUAAAAGUCUAUGCAAAUACAAAUUAGAGACGAAAACAAAGUUUGGUGGCUCUUGUGGGAGCUCUGUGUGGAAUGAACUGCAGCAGGAGAAAUUGACAGAAGACUGCUGCAGUAAUCCUGGCAUAAGGUAACAUGGCCAUAGCUGAUGGUGGUGACUGAGGAAAUUGGAGCAAAGUGGACCCAGCAUGAAAGGCUCGUCAGGACUGACUGAUGGAUUUAGAGUAAAAGAGAAGGAGAGGAAAGAGUGAAAAAAUGACUGGAAGGUGACCAGCCUGUUGUAUUGGGCUGAUUAUGGUGCAAUAAACACAUUAUUUAUGACAGGAAGCCUUUUGGCUGAGGCCAAGAAUAGAGAGAUGGGGAUGAGGAAGUGAUGAGCUAAGUUUUUGAAAUGCAAAGUUGAAGAUGAGGCAAGGAUGUUCAAUUGCAGGUCUGUAGGUAACUGGAGAAACAAGCCUGGAGAGAAGGCUGUGUGGACCAUCUGCCUCCCCCCAUGUCUGAGACUUACAGUACCCACAUAAAUCCAGAAAGCAUACCUGGUAUCAAGCUGCGUGAGAGGAAU